CCCUAUCUACUCCCCACUCCCACCCCAGGCCAUUGGGCUCCUUUUAGAACCUGCACAGAAGUGUCUCCUAAUCUUGGGGGAAAUUAAACUGUCUACUAAAGAAAUCACUAGAUGUCUACAUUUCCUGAUCUUAAAAGUUUGCAGUUAUUCUGUCAUGAAAUAGGAAGUGAAGCAACUACAGUUCUCUCUUCUCAAAACAGAAGGAUUAGGAUUUCCUUUCUGUUGUCUGAGUUCUGGGGCUUGCCUUUGGCUAGAGUUCUGUUGAUAUUUUUCUCCACCUAGACUCAGCCUUUCUUCCCUUCUCAACGGUAGCACUUAUCCUUUCCCAACACAGUCAGAGAACUUGUAUCUCCACCGGCUACUAAUAUAAUUCCAAUUUCCACCCCAUCUCAAACACAAAUUACUUCUGGUAAUUCCCUUCAAGCAAGUUCUGACACCUGAUGUGUUAUCUCAUGUUAAAAAAUUGUAAGUGGCCAUGCUAAGGAGCCAAAAAUGAUGAAACCUAGGAAUGCAGAAGCAGAACUUAGUGUUGUAAUAAAAAAUAUGAUUUACAACAAUCUUGUUUGGUAUACAUACAAUGACAUGUACAGUCAUUACUGUGCUACAUUGUUAUUAGACACAAAAUGGUAUGUGCUGUACUUUGGUGACUAUUAUUUCCAUCAGUUUUAUACAUGGUCUUCCUUAUGGUUUAAUUAUUCUUACUCAAAACACAAAAGGCAUCUCUUUUCUCUUUCUUAUGCACCAAGCAGAGUAUAUAGCUGAUGUCUUGUGAGUGUGGAGAACAGCCAGGGUACUCCAAGACUUGUCUUCCUCUUUCUUGCCUUUCUUCCAGUGUGGCCAAAUGAACUCCCUGUUUCCUGUCUCAGGUGAUUUCCAUUUGACCCUGAUGUUCCCUUUUUACUAUGUGCUUAUUCCGUGCCCCCAGCCAAUGUUUCCCUGAGCAGCCCUUCUCUUUUCCUACUCUUCGUCGGCUGGACCAGUUCUAGAUCAAUGUGAUGCCAAUCAGUGCCAGGCUCCUUGGGGUCAGUAGGCUGUGCCUGGUAUCAGGCUUUCUCCAGAACUGAAGGGAUGAAUAUAUUGUGAUUAUUGUUGCCUAAGAGACUAUCCAAAAUUUUAAAAAUACUCAACAAAUACAGCCAGGUACUCAAAACCUUCAGAGCAAAGGAAGCCUGCUUACCUAAAUUUUGGUUACAAAGGAGUUACAUAUGUUAUAAUGGAGUUUCAGAAAUAUGACAAGGGAAUUUUUAGCUUAAGUGUCUCUUCAGGGCUUUGCUGAAGAACAGAAAUCUAGUGUGUUUGGCUCCCUUGGCUGCCUGGUUUUCUUCAAAGGGGUCUCCAAGAAGGUUCCUAUCCUGCCCAGACCUCUCUCCAUUCCCAUAAACAAUGCUGCUGUCCGUGCUGCUCCAAGCUCAGCACUAGGAGCCCUCCCCAAGGCCAAGCCUUAGUUCAGACUGAGGAGAGCCUCUGCUACCCUCGCUUGUGGAGUUAGGAGGGGCAUGUGAAUGGGGUUCCCUUGAGAACAGAGACGAAGUCACAGGACCUAUGUUUAUCCCUCUUCCACCAUGGUAAUCCCUAAAUAAUGUUUAUAAUUUCUCACUCUACAGUUACUCCCUAGUAGUAUGGUAUACUCUGAGGCUAAAAUAAAACAAACCCUGUCAACAGACUAGGCCUUUUUGAUCAGUCAGAAAUGCUCAGUACUACAGAAGCGGACCUCAUCUCUAUACUAACUGAGUUGUUUCCGUAAAACUGAUCCUGUCUCCUGGAGAUGGCUAGCAUCCAGUCCCCCAGUGCAGAAGAAAGAAGCUCAGUUUCCCAAAUGGGCAAGGACCGCUACUGGUAGACAGAUAGGGAAUAGAUGGGUUGGAAGAAAGGAGAAGAGCAGAACAGAGUCAAGUGUCAGCGUUUGAGCUAUUCCAGGGUGAACCCAGCAAUCUCAGGUUUGGUCUUUUGAAGCAAACCAAGAUCCCCAGGAAACUGUGGCAUGUUCACGUACUUGCCAUUGAACACAGAGUUGUUGAUCCAACGCCACCUUUUCUCUUCACGAUGGUAAAUUAAGCCAAUAAAAUACUUCUCAGCAUCAGUUAUGUCCUGAAGAAACUUCUGGAAAUAAAAAAAAAAUUUUA
rnacentral:lncRNA from 1 species